GCUAGACAUUCCGGGUAUUUCUUAAAGCCUUAAAGCUUGCACGCCUUUCUCUUGCUGCAGCUUUCCUCCACCCUGAAGACACAGCUGUGAUCAGCAGAUCUGUCCAGCAGGGAAGGUGAAAUACAGAAGAGGAUGUUGAUCUACUGACGUAAAGGAUGAUUUUCCCACUGUUCUGGGAGAACUUUAGAUUUUAUUCACUUCUUUCCUUUUUAACCAAAAGUAAGGGGAGAAAAACAAUGAGAAAGAAAAUUAAAGCCAAUGUGGGGAAUAAUGACAACACAUAACAACUGGAAAUCUGGCCCAAUACACAACUGAAUGAACAGAGUCUGGUAAAAUUUGUCCCAAGCUUCAAAACUGCUUUUUCUUGGUUGUAAGUAGGAAGUACUCCUUUAUUCCUGAUAUCAUUUUAGAAAAGAAAACAAUGCAAAGUAUUUGCAAAUUAUGCGAGUUUAUGAACUGUUUUUUGUAAUUAUAAGCUACAACUGAUAAAAUGGAGUACAGGUCUGCUGUCCAGAAGGAUCUCUACAGGGUGGGAACAUCAGGUGGGAAGUUCAGCAAAGACAAAUGCCAAGUCCUGCAACUGCGUUUGAGAUCAUGCUAGUAGCUAACAGGGAAAUCCAGCUGUCCCAGUGGAUAUCAAACUGAACGUAAAGCAGCACUGUGACCAAAGAUGAGGACCAACUGCAUCGUGAGCUGUAUGUGCAGUAUCACAGUCAGAAGAUCAAAGGAAGUGGUUAAACUCCUUGCCAAUCACAUGUGAGGCCACUUCUAGAGCACUGUCCCUAGCCUGGGCUCCCUACUACAAGAGGUGCGGACAUGCUUAAGAGUCCAGAGGAAUAUAAGUGAGGGGAGCUGGAGCAUAUUGCAUAAUAUAUGAAAUUAAAGGAGUUGGACUUAGCCUGAAGAAAGAAUAUGAAAUGGGAAAUUAACUACUAUCUUUCACCAUAUGAAGAAGGGCUGCAGAAGACAUGACAUCAGACUCUUCUCACAUGUGCACUACUAAGAAAAAAAAGGCAACAGGCACAAGUUGACACAAAAAUUCGGAUUGAAUGUAAGGAAAAAAAUUCACAAUGAUGAGCACCAAAUCCUGGAACAUCUUGCCUAAAGAUUUUAUGUGAUCAACAUCCUUGAAGGUUUUCAAAAUUAGUCCAGACAACUGGCUCUGAGCAACUUGAUCCAGAUCUGAAGCCAGAAUUGUUUUAAGUAGUGCUUAGAUUAGAGAUCUCUAGAUCUUCCUUCAAAACACUUUGGGGUUUAUGUAAGGUUUAAAAUAUUGCUAAAUUCCAUAGAAAAUUUCGAAAAAUAAGAGACAUUACCGUAAGUUUUAUAAUGAUCUAGCCUGAGCAGGGACAAUGCAAGGGGCCAUUGUGUUUAUGAAUGGAUAAUGGUCAACAAGAAGUAAAGACAAACUCAUUGCAGGGAUUCUUCCUUAGCUUUUCAAACAUUUUGCACCUGUACUACAGGAUCAUCUGACAAGCACAGAGCUAUCUGAGUAACAGCAACAAUCAUAUUUGGCAGGAGCAAAGAAAAACUCAAGCUACUUACCUCAGAAGUUCUUUAAAAUAACAUUUAAAAGAUUUUCUGGAGAGAAAUUUCAGCAUACCGUAAAGUCUGUGCUGUAGUUUCUAUUCCUUGUUUCAUUUAUCUUAUGCUGAUGCGGAACAUGAAAUGGUAGACAAUCUAGGUCUCUCUUUAGCUUUCUGUAACCUGUCCCGGGACUUGGUUACCUGGGUGCCAAUAAUGGAAAGCCACUAACAUGGCCCAGCUGUAUAACUUUGGCUUUGACUGCGGAGGAAAUUGCUGAGUUUUGAAAAAGAACAGUGAAAAGUGUGUAGAACAGAAGAGGAUGAUAAAACUGAAGACAGAGGAAUAAUGAAUGUCCCACGAAAUACCUGAAGUUCCCCCUGUCACUCUGUGCCUUAACCUUUGUGAUGCUAAAGACUCAGAUUUGCAACCCUACCGUUCAUCUUUCACUUACGGCUCUGUAAUCUUUUGCCUAAAUUUCUGUGAGGUUUUGUGUUUUUUUCCUUCUAUGUCAUUCUCCUACUGUCAUCCUUGUAAUUUUCAUGCCUUUACACCUCUAACGGUGUCACUUUAGGUUUCUCAUAGUAAGUGAUUGCCCUGGCAUGACAAUUACCCCUCCUUCCCUGCUUUUUCCUAUGCAUUGUUGUUUGUAAUUCAGCUUAUACUAGAGGCAAAGAAGACUUAAGAAAUAACAUCUUGUGUAAUAGUUAUUUAUAUAUAUAAUAAGUAUUACUCCCCAAUACAUGUGCAUGGUGCUCAACCAAUAAUUCCUCAUCUGUGAAGAUGUCCCAGAAACUAGCUGUAAGUCAUUGAUCGCAUUAUAGGCCUCUAAACAAAAAACUGCUUGAAAUUUAUUUGACAUACGUUGCUAGCAUUUUUAAUUUAAAAUUUAAUUUUUAAACUACUGAAAAGCACUGGUGUUAUACCACAAGCUCAUUCCACAUUAAACAUCACUGCAGUGCUAGGGUACCAAUCUCAGCAUCAUUAGCAACAUAAUCUCUAUGCUAAAAGUAUUAUUUUAUUUUUAUAUCUUUAGGUUUAUAAAUAUUGACCACUUUUAGAGCAUCUGAAGUUAUUUCUGCAGAUUUUAUCGUGAGCAGCACCUUGCUGUUACCUUGUGGGCUGACAGUGGGGACUCAGGUGAUGGAGGUGCUGCAGUUCACUCGCUCAUCUUCACUCCUGUGCUGUAGGAAAUCGUUGCACACAAAGCCUCUGCUUUCCCAGGAUGGCAUAGUUCAGUCAUCAACCUGGAGUACUUAGUCCUACUGUAUAUUUGGUGUGUACAGAUCACCAGGAGAAAAAAAAAUAAAACCUGCUGAGGACAUUUUGUCACAGCAUAUAAAUCAAAAAGCAAGUUGGAUGAAAAAGCUAAUCUAGUUACUUAUAGUCCUUAAAAUGUUCCAGACCAGAUGUUGAAAAAUGUCACGUUGACCAGCUCAGCACUGCAGGGUACUAAGCUUUUCCUCGGGGCUACUGGGCUUGAGUCAGAUGCAUUUAAAGGAUGCCCACGGUUUGUAAAUUCAAAGGUGCAGAAACAGGCACAAACAGAAGUGAAUCUCACUGGAAGGCAUGGAAUUAAGUGGAGAUCUAAAAGCUCAGCUACUCUUUCCCUAGGUCAGAUCAGUCCAGAUGGUUUAAUUCCUGACCAGUAUCUAUGCAACGCCAUGGAUGAAGCUUUGAUAUAUCAGUAAUUUCUGAAUAUUUUCUAUAAUUUGGAAAAGAAUGACUAAAUUCCACUUCGGUAGAUUCAACAAAACAAGGGUAAAAGAAAAAGAAAAUCUGAGCAUAUGUAGAUUAUUUCUUUUCACAUUUGGAAUGGAAGGUAUCAAAAAUAGAUUAAGAUGCUUGGCUGGAAGCACUUUAUGUGACCUCAAGCCAUAGCCUGAUGCCAAACAAGAGUUUUAAAAAUCCAAUUAAAAUAAAAUAUUAAAUAUAUAAAUAAAAGUUGUAAAUAAUUCCUCACUGUCAGAUAAAAAUACAUACACAUAUACAUACACAGAAUGCACUUUUGACUUACACUGAAGUACAUGUCAAUGGUUGAACUGAAGUUGUUGUUUUUCUGUGCAGCUUGGGAGAGAAUGUGUCUAAAUGUCAUUUAAAGUAUUAAAUAAAGAAAGAAAUUGUAACUUUUAUUUAGUCUCACCCUUUUCUUUAUUUGUUACUCAUCCACUAGAAUAAAAAUCUAUUAGUCAUCC
ensembl:lncRNA